GUGACUCCAUCACCUUUACCUCUUGAAUAUCCUCAGGUACAUCUAAUCUCUUCUCAUCAUAAGCGAUUAGGACCUUCUGUUAAGAAUAUCAAGUGGAUCUUGUGGGUAUGUAACUAACCCGUGGAUUCUUCUCUUUUGCAUACCUUCUCAGACGGCUCGUGUCUCUUCUUUGGACGCGAAUGAGAUUCUGACAUGUACCUGAGCUCACACCUGAGCUCCACCAUCACGCUCCACCUCUUCCGUAGACCAAGUAAUCUCCUUUCUC
rnacentral:lncRNA from 1 species